UGUAUUAUAUAAUUUAUACCUCUAAUACGGCGCCUUCUUCUUCUUUUGAGUUUUAAUGGCGGGUUGCGAAGCAACGUCAUAGUUGCAUACUGCCAUCUACUGUAUCGGAUGCACGGCUUGAGGGCUAUACAGGGACACCCGAAACCGUAGGUGGCGGUAUGCACCUAUGAAGUUGCUUCGCAACCCGCCAUUAAAACUCUAAAGAAGAAGGUGCUGUGCACGGGCUCAUUUGACUACGCAUAGUACUGUAUUAGAGGUAAAAAAAAUUAUAUAAAUACUGUUCGGCUUCUCGCACAAACCGAUCGUUUCGUUUCUUAGGAUAUCAAUGUGUCGUCACGAGCGGCAGGGUUUAAUUUGGAUUUGUCUGUGCAUGUUUUUACUGUCUGAGAUUUUGUUACUAUUCACAUGCAUACAGACUGAAACGGUUGGAGUUUCUACAUUUGUGUUGUACUGAAGAAACAAAAUCACAUACAUCUUGGAUGGCCUCGGGACCCUUUUGCCAGUAUGAAGCCGAUUUCAACGGUAACUGCAGAAAGCGUCAGCACGCUCAGCUCAUCACUGGAGUAACGUCUGUACAACGGGUGAGAUAAAACUCAACGUCUGACUGAAUCAUCCAUUCCCUUUUCGAUCCUACGCCAUACGUUAAACUUGAGGUAAUCUUGCUUUUGCUGUUCUAAUAUAAACACUGCUCUUAGCACACCACCCAUACAUGGCACACAAAACAGGUCUUGUGAGGGGGCUGUGCCCACAGGUAGAAAUUCUGUAGGUCCACGGGCUUCUCCCCUUUCAGCGAACAUCACAGCGCUUAGUCCACCAUCGUGGUCUCCAAUCUCCAUUACCAACAGCCUGAGUGCUACACCUACAGACACCCCAACCCAUGCAGCAGCUGGCAGAAGUCAGACAUCAGGCCAAACUGGAUUUCAACACACCCCACCCUUACAUGGCACACAAGUAUAUGACACACAACACAGGUCUUCUCAGGAGGCUGUGCCUACAGCAAUAGGCUUUACGCCCAGCUGCACUACUUCCUGAACUUCAGCCAGCUCCUUGUUUCCUGUCUGCCAUUAUUGGACAAACUGAUUAAUCCAGGUGUGCCUGAGCUUAGUAGUCACAACAACAAUAAUCAGACACACCUGGAUUUAUCAGUUUGUCCAGUAAUGGCAGACAGGAAACAAGGAGCUUAAAGCCUAUUGCUAAGGAGAUCCUCAUCCAGCUCGAUUUUAUUAGAGAGCAGCAGUUGCAGACUUCAUCCCAGACCCAACACAUUUUGGGCUGCCACUUUCAACUAUUGAGGAGCUACAAUGUUUGUAGGAGACAUUAAAUAAUCCAGAUGAGAAGAAGAAUUUGGUGAGACUGUUUUUCCUGGAAUGGUCGGAGACAAGACUCUUAAAGACACCGUGGGGUGGGUCCUGAAAAAAAACAAUGAACUCUUCGUGGUGAGACUCAUCAAUUGAAGUGGGGUCAACUGAACGCCUGCAUUCAAAGGGCUCACUUUGAAAAGUGUGGUUUUGGAUGCAGUCCGCCGGAAUGCCCUGACCAAAGAUAACACAGAAAAGGAGAUAGAGCUCCUCAUCACCAGGUGGUCGGUGCUAGCAUAUGACAGGGAUGGUGGCCAAAUCCAGACAAUAGACAGACAAUGAAUUAAAAUGUUUUAAAUUUAAAAAUGUUGAUUUUUGGAAAAUUCCUAUUUGAACUGAUUGUGUGUGUGUGUGCACCUGGUAAUUAUCACGUUGUGUCCCCACAAAGAUAGGAAUACCAGUAUUUUUGUGACCUUGUGUCCCCAUGAGGAAACAAGCUUAUAAAUCAAACAAAAUGAUGUUUCUUGUAAAUGUGAAGUAGGAGAAGGGUUUCUGUGAUGGUUGGGUUUAGGGAAUGGGGUAGGUAAGGGGAAUAAAAUAUACAGUUUGUAUGGUAUAAAAUGCAUUACGUCUAUGGAAUGUCCCCACAAAACAUGGAAACCUGUUUGUGUGUACGAGAGAGAGAGAAUGUGUGUUCAAGUGAAUAAAAAAUGCAUUAAACGUGAAA